AUGGCACUGGAGGAACUGGCCUCUGGUGCGACGGCGGUGGAGGUUGUCCCCACAUGCUCGGCCGCGGUGUUGGCGCCCCUGGCUCCAUGCGUUCUAAUUUUCCGUCCUCUAGGCCUUGUGGUGGUGGCCUUAGUGAGAUGGCGUGGGUGGCUUAAAGACCGUGGUGGCACAGGCAGGUGGGGGCGUGCUGGGUGGAAGACUCCGGAGCGAUUUGGUAGUGGUGUUGUGGGGGUGGGAGAAAGCCAUGUCAGCUCGUCCGACUCCGACGCGGUGACGCCUGCGGGUGCCGCCACCCCUCCUUGGAGGGCGUCGGGUGACCCGUUUCACCUUCUUCCUCUACAUGCUGGGGGAAUCCCUAGGACAAGUCCGGGCAACAGCGUUGUGGUCGUCGCUAUCCUUACUGAAGGUGUUGCUUGGUAUGCGGCGCUCCGGAAUGUUGGGUACGUGGUGGGACGACUUCGGAGGGUGCAGCGGUGGCGGGUCAUUCAUGUGUCGUCAAGCUGCCAUUGUUGGCAUUUGUUUCUCUCUUCUUCUUCUUGUUUUAUCUUUGGGCUUGAUGUGCUGUUUGCCCCAGCAAUGCGAUAA
rnacentral:rRNA from 1 species